ACGAACGCUGGCGGCAGGCUUAACACAUGCAAGUCGAGCGCCCCGCAAGGGGAGCGGCAGACGGGUGAGUAACGCGUGGGAACGUACCUUUUGGUUCGGAACAACUCCGGGAAACUGGAGCUAAUACCGGAUAAGCCCUAACGGGGAAAGAUUUAUCGCCGAAAGAUCGGCCCGCGUCUGAUUAGCUAGUUGGUGAGGUAACGGCUCACCAAGGCGACGAUCAGUAGCUGGUCUGAGAGGAUGAUCAGCCACACUGGGACUGAGACACGGCCCAGACUCCUACGGGAGGCAGCAGUGGGGAAUAUUGGACAAUGGGCGCAAGCCUGAUCCAGCCAUGCCGCGUGAGUGAUGAAGGCCUUAGGGUUGCAAAGCUCUUUUGUCCGGGAAGAUAAUGACUGUACCGGAAGAAUAAGCCCCGGCUAACUUCGUG
rnacentral:rRNA from 1 species